rnacentral:rRNA from 1 species
GACGUAGGGCGCGAGCGUUGUCCGGAUUUACUGGGCGUAAAGAGCGCGCAGGCGGUCGAUCAAGUCGAGUGUGAAAGCCCCCGGCUCAACUGGGGAGGGUCAUUCGAUACUGAUCGACUCGAAGGCAGGAGAGGGUAGUGGAAUUCCCGGUGUAGUGGUGAAAUGCGUAGAUAUCGGGAGGAACACCAGUGGCGAAGGCGACUACCUGGCCUGUUCUUGACGCUGAGGCGCGAAAGCUAGGGGAGCAAACGGG